rnacentral:misc_RNA from 1 species
CACCGCCCCCACCCCUCUCUCUUUGGGAUUGAUGAGGCGAAAGCUCUCCGCUGUGGUGCAGCGGCGUCUGUACGCGGUACCAAGAGUCGUCACGGUGGCUCAGCGCAGAGGCACUGAAGGCAGCGCGGACAGCAGCAGCAACUGCAGUCGUGGCCUUGCGUCGUCGUCAUCUAUGCCGUUGUCGUGCUCAUUCAAGGGCGCCAUCUGCGAUGAGGCGCGUGAUGUCCAUCUGGUGCCCGCCCUCGUGGCAUCGUCAUCAUACCCCGGCGGACGACAGCGCCUUCUGUGGGCCACGUUGGCUGGCUGGUGUGUCGGGGUGGCGCUGUGUGUUUCGGCAGGUAUGACGGUGGUGCUGUGCCGCUCGUACGAAACGCCGACGUAUCUGAUCCCGUACUAUCUGCGCGACGUGCGCUCGCGAUUCCUGCACUAUGCAUCGGUGCGGAAGCGCAAGGGUGGUCCCAUGUACAUGACCGUGGAGGACUUUGUGCUCGCGCUGCUGGCCUCGCCGGAGAAGGUGCUGCCGAACCCGGACAUUGUGCAGGACCUCCAGCGCCUCUUCGAGUCCAUGGACGCGAACGGGGAUGGCUACAUAAGCUUCCCAGAGUUCCGCUUCCUCAUGAGCCUCCUCACAAGCGACCCGCAUGAGGUGGAAGCGCUCUUCUACAUCGUGGGCACCGACAAGUCGGGCACCCUCUCCUUGGAGGAGUUCGCCAACGUGCUGCGCGGGACCACGAAGGACGAGGCAGUCGUGCGCUCGCUUCUGAAGCCUUCGACGCGCCGCAACGGCAUCGUUCGGGCACUCUUCGGCGACGAAACAGCACCGCGCAGGUGCUCCUUCAGAGAGCUGGAGGCGUUGAUCCACAGCGUGCGCACGGAGGUGUGGAAGGCCGAGUUCCGCCAAUAUGAUGUGGAGAAGCGCAACCGCAUCACCGCCGAGGAGUUCGCGGCGCUCAUUGCCAGGCAGGUGCUCGGCUCUCACUUGCCGUACUACCUGGUGGGUAACAUACGCCGCCUGCACGGCAGCGGCGACGUUGUGACGCUCGACAUGUGGCUAGGCCUGAACGAAGUGAUGCUCUACGCAGAGCAGCUGGCGGCCAACGUGGAGAUGUUCUCGAGCAGCGGCAUGUCGGUGACGAAGCGGGACUUUCGCCGGCUUAUGUCUAUGGCCGGCGUGCCGGCGCUGCCUCAGGCCACUAUAGACGUCAUCUUUGCCGUCUUCGACAAGAACGGCGACGGGUCGAUGGAGAUGGACGAGUUCCUAUUCAUUAUGCGCAAGAAGGUCAAAUACCACUACAGCGCGCCUCCGCAUGAGCGCAAGAGUCUGCCGAGGCGUUUUCUGGAGUGCUCCAGCGAUGUGCUGGCGGGUUUCGGCCGGUAGUGAAAGGGGCAGGCGCAGAGGCAGGGAGAGAUCAUCAGUAGCAUCCAACUUCUUACAUGGUGCUACAAAAGGAAAGGAAGGGGAGUUACCCGCAGCAGCGGCGGUGUCAAGGGUCCGCAUACCAAUGGUAAGCACGCACGCACGCACAUCGGGCGCUGCAGUACACGCAUAGCUCUCCCUCUCUCGGGGUACCCCGACCCCUCCCUUUUGGGUCUUCGUUCUGCCUUUGGCUGCACCCUCAUGUACGGGCAACCCCUCCGUGUCCAAUAUCUGUGCGCGCCCAAGUUCGACCACGCUGGUAUGUAUGUUCAAGUGUACGCACAACCGAUUCG